rnacentral:rRNA from 1 species
CUUGAUAGGAGAUAUACCCUGGAAUGAUUUAUCUCUUAAACUCGCGCUUAAGGAUGGGGCUGCGGCGGAUUAGGUAGUUGGCGGGGUAAUAGCCCACCAAGCCAAAGAUCCGUAAGGGCUCUUAGCGGAGGGGCCCUGAGAGGGAGUCUGAGACACUACUCCCAGCCCUACGGGGUGCAGCAGCUAGGAAUCUUCUGCAAUGCGCGAAAGCGUGACAGAGUGAGUCAGAGUGUUUCUCAACGAGAAACUUUUGCCAAAUCUAAAAAGUUUGGCGAAUAAGGACUGGGUAAGACUAGUGCCAGCCGCCGCGGUAAUCCUAGCGGUCCAAGUCGCAGCCAUCUUUAUUGGGUAUAAAACAUCCGUAGCUUGCUAUAUAAGUUUCCUGUGAAAUCUGGCAUCUCAAGUGUCAGGCGUGCGGGAAGUACUGUAAAGCUAGAGACUGGAAGACGUAAGAAGUAUGUUUAAAGUAGCAGUAAAAUGCUCUAAUCUUAGACAGACUCACAACAGCGAAGGCAUCUUACGAGGACAGUUCUGACAGUAAGGGAUGAAGGCUAGGGGCGCGAAAGGGAUUAGAUACCCCUGUAGUCCUAGCAGUAAACACUGCACACUAAACAUUAGUACCUCCUCGGGAGGUAUUAGUGCUGAAGAGAAGUCGAAGAGUGUGCUACCUGGGAAGUAUAGUCGCAAGACCGAAACUUAAAGGAAUUGGCGGGGAGACACUACAACGGGU